GCUGGGCAUGGUGGUGCAUGCCUGUAAUCCCAGCUACUCAGGAGGCUGAGGCAGGAGAAUCGCUUGAACCCGGGAGGCAGAGGUUGCAGUGAGCCGAGAUCAUGCCACUGCACUCCAGCCUGGGCAACAGAGCAAGACUCUGUCUCAA
rnacentral:SRP_RNA from 1 species